GGAAUCUUUAUAUAUAAAAGGAUAGUUGGCAUGUGUCUGCGAAGAGAGGGGUUGUGAGGGAGGAAAAGGCACCUUUAGAAGAAGUAGACUGCUGUUGUAUUACAAUAUAAUAAAAAAUAGAUUGCUUUGCCACAGAUCUUCACUAAAAAAAAGGGCCUAUUGCUGUAUUUGGACAAGAGUGCAUUUUAUAAUCAACAUACUCAAGUAUUAAAAAGCCAAAAACCGCAAUGAAAAUGGAUCCUAUUCCCUCUUGUUUUUAGUGGCGAUCAUAAAUGUCAGUGGUUCCUGUGUUUAUUUUGCAGCCCCCCUUUGUAAAAGACAAAGGUCAGCAGUGAAUAAUAACGAACACGAAUAGUAACUGAGGAGACUUCUGUCUGCUGUGCACUAACGUGGUUCUCUCUUAUCUAGUCAUUUGAAUUCUCCAAAAUGUUACAUCUGCAUUGGUGAAGCAUUAUUAUUUGCAUUUCUAAGAUAGCUUAAUAAGCAUCCUGCAUUUUAAAAUGCAUGGGUUUGUGGGUGAGUAGU